rnacentral:rRNA from 3 species
CACCGCGGUUAUACGAGAGGCUCAAGUUGACAGACAACGGCGUAAAGAGUGGUUAGGGAAACUUUUUAAACUAAAGCCGAACGUCCUCAAAGCUGUUUAACGCUUCCGAGUUAAGAAGGUCUUUAACGAAAGUAGCUUUACCAAACCUGACCCCACGAAAGCUGUGAAA